CACGUAGUUAGCCGGUGCUUAUUCUUUAGGUACCGUCAGCAGAUAAUGGUAUUAACACUAUCCUUUUCUUCCCUAACAAAAGUCCUUUACAACCCGAAGGCCUUCUUCAGACACGCGGCAUGGCUGGAUCAGGCUUGCGCCCAUUGUCCAAAAUUCCCCACUGCUGCCUCCCGUAGGAGUCUGGGCCGUGUCUCAGUCCCAGUGUGGCGGAUCAUCCUCUCAGACCCGCUACUGAUCGUCGCCUUGGUAGGCCUUUACCCCACCAACUAGCUAAUCAGACAUCGGCCGCUCGAAUAACGUGAGGUCCGAAGAGCCCCCACUUUCCUUCUCAAAGCGUAUGCGGUAUUAGCUAUCCUUUCGGAUAGUUAUCCCCCAUUACUCGGUACGUUCCGAUGCAUUACUCACCCGUUCGCCACUCGCCACCAAAAGAGCAAGCUCUUUCGUGCUGCCGUUCGACUUGCAUGUGUAAAGCAUGCCGCCAGCGUUCAAUCUGAGCCAGGAUCAAA
rnacentral:rRNA from 1 species